GUGCUGGCUUCAGCAGCACAAAUACUGAAACUGGAACGAUACAGAGAAGAUUAGCACGGCCCCUGCACAGGGAUGACACGCAAAUUCGUGAAGCGUUCCAUAGUUUC
rnacentral:snRNA from 1 species